GUAGGUGGCAAGCGUUGUCCGGAAUUAUUGGGCGUAAAGCGCGCGCAGGCGGUUCUUUAAGUCUGAUGUGAAAGCCCACGGCUCAACCGUGGAGGGUCAUUGGAAACUGGAGAACUUGAGUACAGAAGAGGAAAGCGGAAUUCCACGUGCAGCGGUGAAAUGCGUAGAGAUGUGGAGGAACACCAGUGGCGAAGGCGGCUUUCUGGUCUGUAACUGACGCUGAGGCGCGAAAGCGUGGGGAGCAAACAGGGAUUAGAUACCCUGGUAGUCCACGCCGUAAACGAUGAGUGCUAAGUGUUAGGGGGGUUUCCGCCCCCUUAGUGCUGCAGCUAACGCAUUAAGCACUCCGCCUGGGGAGUACGGCCGCAAGGCUG
rnacentral:rRNA from 1 species